CUGCGAAAACUCUACAAUGGGCGAAAGCCUGAUAGGGGGAUCCAGAGUGCUCAUGCUUUGCAUGGGCUUUUGCCAAGUCGAAAAUUCUUGGCGAAUAAGUGGUGGGCAAGACUGGUGCCAGCCGCCGCGGUAACACCAGCGCCACAAGUGGCCAUCGCGUUUAUUGGGCCUAAAGCGUCCGUAGCCGGCCCGGCAAAUCCUUUGUGAAAUCGUGGGACUCAAUCUCACGGCGCGCAGGGGAGACUACCGGGCUAGGGACCGGGAGGGGUCAGAGGUAUUCCGGGGGGACUGGUAAAAUGGGAUAAUCCCCGGCAGACCACCGAUGGCGAAGGCAUCUGACCAGAACGGAUCCGACGGUGAGGGACGAAAGCUAGGGGAGCGAACCGG
rnacentral:rRNA from 1 species